UUGGGUUGGAUGGUCUGGGGUCUUGUGGGUUGGUUGGUUGGUGACGGACACGUGGGCUGGUUGCAGACACCUGGGCUUAGUUGGGGUUCAGAAUGGGGUUGUUGGCGGACAUCUGGGCAGGCUUGGGGGGGAGACAGCCCCCUCCUCUGUCCUUCUGCCCCCUCUGAGCCCCCUGGCGCUGCCCCCCAGCAACACUUCAGCCACCGCUGAGGAGAGCUGGUACGAGAACGAAGGUGGCACCUGGACAGCAUCCGAUGGCUUCGUCCUCGACAACGGCAACGCCACCGAACCAGAUGCAGAUCGCCAGACCCUCACUGCGGCCCCAGUUGUGACCCAGCACUUCCAGGACCUUCACAACGAUGCUGCUUCCAAGGUCAUCGUUGGCUCCUGCUCACCGUGGUGCCCA